UCUGUUGAUAUAGUGCUUAGGACUAGGGUG
rnacentral:piRNA from 1 species